UUUUGGGGGGUUGUCUAUUUUCUAACAAUGUAGCCAAUUUUCAAACAAUGUAGCCAGUCUUUUUGGGGGUUGUCUAACAAUCAGCCAGUCUUUUUGGGGGUUGUCUAUUUUCUAACAAUGUAGCCAUCUUUUUGGGGGGGUUGUCUAUUUUCAAACAAUGUAGCCAGUCUUUUUGGGGGGUUGUCUAUUUUCUAACAAUGAGUCUUUUUGGGGGUUGUCUAUUUUCUAACAAUGAGGCCAGUCUUUUUGGGGGGAUUCCAAUUUUCAAACAAUGUAGCCAGUCUUUUUGGGGGGUUGUCUAUUUUCUAACAAUGUAGCCAGUCUUUUGGGGGGUUGUCUAUUUUCUAACAAUGUA
ensembl:lncRNA